rnacentral:lncRNA from 1 species
UCAUUUCUUAGCUCAUAUCCUGUCUUAUACAGUAUCAUUCCUAUAAAACAUUACUUUUAAGGUAAUUUCCAAACUGUAUUUCAAUCUUACACAAACAUUUUUCAUUUACCGAAUAACUCAAUAUUUACACAACUCUAAUUUACACAAAUCAAAAAUUGUCAUUUCGAUAUAAUAUAGUUCAUACUUAAAGGAAAUAACUUUCCUGUAUGCAGGCCUAUAUUCUUUAUCAUCCGGAUAGCAAGAUAAUGUGUUGCAUAUCAUACCUGCAAAAAUUAUAUUUUUGCAAGACUGAGCUCGACAGCCCAGAAAAUCUAACAGUUUUCAUGCUUUAUAUAACACGUAGUUUCAUGCUCAACAUACAACUCAUAAUCCUUUAUACCAUUCAUGCAUUAUCACUUUAAACAAUAUAUGUUCAAAGCAUAUAUCACAUAUAUAUUGAGUUCCAUAACUCAAUCAGCUUAGUCAUAUAUUGACUUUCACAACUUAUAGCAUGUAACAUGUAAUUCAACAUAUUCUUAAAGAUCUCAUACAAUAACCAAUUCAUAGAAUCACAAAGAAAUUGGAAGACUUGCCUCAAGCGCCGCUUAACAUUAUAGCUAUCUGCCUUGCAGUGCUCCUAUACAAUUUAAGUGUCCACAUUUAUCAAACAACAGUCAUACAGUCCAUACAACUUAAUGAAAUAGCUUAGUUUUUAUAUCAACUUUAUCUCGUUCAUUGAUUUCAUUCAUUGAUUUCCUUAUUUUUCCGUAUAAACUGUGUAACGGUGCUAUCUAUAUUAACAAGAAACAGAAAGCAGGGGCAUCUCCCAACACUCAACCAUUACGAUCUGUACUAAUCAUGUCUUCUAUGAUUUCUUAUCACCAACCAACAAUUUAUCUUCAGUGACAUUCUAUCAUUGGAUCCCCUAAAUUGCCAAAUAAUCCAAUCAUCAUACUUUCUAGGAAGUUUCUUACUAAAACAUAUAUUGGCUUGUAAUAAUUCUAAAUAUCCUUUAAUAAUUCUAUCCAAUGUAUCUAUUCGUGAUGAAUAACCCCAUGAUCCCUUUCUUGACAUUUUUAGUAUAUUGUGGCUGCAAAAGCCAUUCUUCUUCCUCAUUUCCAAACUCCUUGCUUUGAAAUAUUUUAUUACAUAGUCAAUUUCUUUACUCCAAGGUUUUCCAUUAGUUUGAAACAUCUAUAGCAAUAUAUGGACAGGUAAUGCAUCUUAAUCCAAUAUUUGUUUCUUUUAAAAACAUUGAUCAGUAGACUUCAACUUCACUAAUGGGCUAUUGGACCAAACAAGAAGAGUUUCCAUUGAUUCCUUGCCAAAAACCCCCAUGGUUAUUAAGCUAUGCUUCUGAUAUGAAAGUGGUACAUGAACCACAUACCAUUCACAAGGAAGAUUUUGAUUUAACCAAUUAAUGGAAUCAACUUUUAGAAGUAAAACAGUAAAGGUUUAUCAUUAUUAUUAGCAUUGCAUGUGUCAAAUGUUUCUAUAUAUCUAGUGCCAAAUUGGUGUCAUCACAUUCAUCAAUUUUAUUUGAAAUAUCAACAUUCUUCUAAAUUACUUAGUAAUCUUUACAUCAUUCUAUGUUUAUAUUAUACAGUGUAACUAACAUACUUGAACUCGUUCUCGAUCGCUUCACUAAUGUUGACCAUAAUUUGAAAUUUCAAUACUUAACAUCCUCAUUAAAUUCUUUAUCAAUCACAUAGGAUUUAUCAAUCAAAUUCUAAGUUAGUUAUGCUUAAAGUUCAUUUUGUUAUUGAUUUUAACUAUUCUAAUGCUCAACAUCAAGAAUCAGAAUUGAAAACGAAAAACAAAACCCAAAACAGGUAGCCAGCUACUGUUGCUAUUUGUUGCUGCUACGCUGCUAUUUGCUGCUGCCGCUAGGCAGCAGCCCGCCCCUCUUCAUGGCCUAUCCACUUUGCGAUUUUGUUGUUUUUAAUUUGUAAGUUAGUUUGCCCCCAAUUUUGGAUACGUUAUAGAAACCAUAGCAGGCUAUAUUAAAAAAAUACAAACCACCUAUUUUGGAUAUCUUAGGCAAUCCAAAACAGGCCCCAAAAAUGUCCGGUUGCAACUGUUUUUAAUUUUUUUUCUUGCUUUACUCUCUCUCUCGCUAAAAUAGUCUUAACUUUUUCGUUUUAAAACAUUUUUGAACGAUUCUUGCGCCCACAUGAAGCUAACUUCUGGGACUACAACUUUUUUUCCUGGACCAUCUUCAAAUUCCAAACACAAAAUUCUAGAAAAUUCGUGGAAGGGGACUGACCUGAAUCUGUUCUUCAGUUUUGGAUAGAUUCAACACGCCUCCUUUGAAAUUUCACAACUUUAUGAUUGGAGGUCGGAAUUAGUCCGUUCCGGAGUAUAUUUUUCACUUAAACUCAAAUGUUAGAAAUUCUUUAAAACUUGUUUUGAACUUAAUUUGAUUCACUAAAUCAACUUAGUUUACAUUAUAAUAGAAUAUAAAAAUGUAACCUAGCCCCAAGCUUUGCUUUAUUCUCCAUUUCAAGGCAUUAAACCUUUUUGAGGUGAACUUUCAAACACCUUGAAGGCGUAGCUUAAAGUUUCAGAUUUCAUAGGAGUUUGGACAUGUUCUAGCCCAAUUUUUUCCAGCCUUAUUACUCCGCACAACAUAUUCAACCUCCCAUCUCAUCAAUUCCACAACCAAAACAGAGCAACAUAUCAACAAUUAUACAUACUAUUUACUCACUUUUUAUGAAAAUAACCAAAACAUAAGGCUUACCUUUGUUUGGUGUAAUAACUGAAUAAUAUAACUUUUCUAUCAUUUACAUCUGCUCGUUUUGUUGUCCUGCAUUAAUAUUAUAUAUAUUUAUCAAAAGAAUUAAUAUUGAAACUAGCAUAUCUGGAAUUAGAGCAUCGGGUAAAUAACUGACUUUUUUUUUAAUAAAAUAAUAACUUCAAGAUUACCAAAAAAACCAAGUUAUGGAGUAUGAACCAUUUAUACAAAGACAUAUUCUAAUUCAUGCAAGUUUUUCUCCAGCAACUCUGAAAUCGGUCUUAUGUGUUAGGCGACAUUAUGCUCAUUGAGUAAAAUAUACUUGUGGUAUAAAUAUG